UUGAACGCUGGCGGCAUGCCUUACACAUGCAAGUCGAACGGUAACGGGCCUUCGGGUGCCGACGAGUGGCGAACGGGUGAGUAAUACAUCGGAACGUGCCCGAUCGUGGGGGAUAACGAGGCGAAAGCUUUGCUAAUACCGCAUACGAUCUACGGAUGAAAGCAGGGGACCGCAAGGCCUUGCGCGGACGGAGCGGCCGAUGGCAGAUUAGGUAGUUGGUGGGAUAAAAGCUUACCAAGCCGACGAUCUGUAGCUGGUCUGAGAGGAUGAUCAGCCACACUGGGACUGAGACACGGCCCAGACUCCUACGGGAGGCAGCAGUGGGGAAUUUUGCACAAUGGGCGCAAGCCUGAUCCAGCCAUGCCGCGUGCAGGAUGAAGGCCUUCGGGUUGUAAACUGCUUUUGUACGGAACGAAAAGCCUUCUUUUAAUACAGGAGGGUCAUGACGGUACCGUAAGAAUAAGCACCGGCUAACUACGUG
rnacentral:rRNA from 1 species